CAAACACAACGACUUCAUUUCAUCCCAAAUCCACCAUAGUUACAGUAGAAACUAGAAACCCACAAGCAGACCAGACCCAUUAGAUUGCUUUACAAUAAUAGCAAGCAUAAGAACGCCUAACUACCCAAUUUCUUGAUAACAAGACUAUCAAUCCAAAAUCAAAAGCCCUAACCACCAAACCCAUAAAGAGUCCUGCCCUGCCUUUUCAGUGCAUACACCACAUCCAUGGCUGUUACAGUCUUGCGGCGGGCGUGUUCCGUGUAGGUCACAGCGUCUCUGAUCACAUUCUCAAGGAAGAU
rnacentral:misc_RNA from 1 species